UACGGAGGGGGCAAGCGUUGUUCGGAAUUACUGGGCGUAAAGCGCACGUAGGCGGACUGGAAAGUCAGAGGUGAAAUCCCAGGGCUUAACCUUGGAACUGCCUUUGAAACUCCCGGUCUUGAGGUCGAGAGAGGUGAGUGGAAUUCCGAGUGUAGAGGUGAAAUUCGUAGAUAUUCGGAGGAACACCAGUGGCGAAGGCGGCUCACUGGCCCGAUACUGACGCUGAGGCGCGAAAGCGUGGGGAGCAAACAGG
rnacentral:rRNA from 1 species